rnacentral:lncRNA from 1 species
UUUCAGAGUGAGUAAAGGUUGUUGAGAGAUUCUGUUAUUGUGAGUGUGGCAUUGAGCAAAGAAUUGCUCUUGAGUGAAAAAGAGAUUUGUAAAGAGCAAAGGCUUGCUCUAAGAUUGUAAGGGUUUUAAUCUUCACCCAAAGAAGAUUUGAUAGUGGAGUUAAACUCUCAAGGUGGACCUUGAGGAGAGGACGUAGGCUUGAGAUAGCUGAACCUCUAUAAAUUCUUGUGUUGAUUAUCUUCUUCCUCAUUGCCUUCUAAUUUGUUCUUU